rnacentral:lncRNA from 1 species
CUCAUUGUACUUGUUCUGCCUAGGAUGGUGAAGUCUCUGGGCCCGACAGGUCACGAUGCCUCUGGAAAAUUUCUGAUUGUACCUUUCCACAAUUGCAACCGUCACAAUUUGUUGAGACAAUACGCAGGUACUGGAAUUCUUUUGUGAACAGGUGUUUGAUCUGCAAGGAGUGGUGCGCGGCUCGACUAGAAAUUCUCCAGGCUGGGUUUUAAGGAGGCAAUAUUACUGGACAAUCGCAUCUGAUGAUCGUGCACUCUCCGGUCCGAAAUUAUUGUUCGAAUUCCACCCAAAGCCUGCCACGUUACACCGAGAAUCGUGAAAGCUUGCACGAU